rnacentral:misc_RNA from 1 species
GAUGAAGAACGUAGCGAAAUGCGAUAAGUAAUGUGAAUUGCAGAAUUCAGUGAAUCAUCGAAUCUUUGAACGCAUCUUGCGCUCCUUGGUAUUCUGAGGAGCAUGCCUGUUUGAGUGUCAUUAAAUUCUCAACUACACUGACUUUGAAUUGGUGUGGCUUGGAUUUGGGGGGAAAAUUGUUGUGGGCUUUUUGUAUAGUCUGCUCCCCUGAAAUUGAUUAGCGGUACCUUUGUGGAACUGUCUACAGGUGUGAUAAUUAUCUACAUCUUAGACAUCUGCUGGAAUGCUGCUUUCUAAACCUUACUUGUAUUGACAAUCUUGACCUCAAAUCAGGUAGGACUACCCGCUGAACUUAAGCAUAUCCAUAAGCGGAGGA